AUUGAACGCUGGCGGCAGGCCUAACACAUGCAAGUCGAGCGGAUGACAGGAGCUUGCUCCUGGAUUCAGCGGCGGACGGGUGAGUAAUGCCUAGGAAUCUGCCUGGUAGUGGGGGACAACGUUUCGAAAGGAACGCUAAUACCGCAUACGUCCUACGGGAGAAAGCAGGGGACCUUCGGGCCUUGCGCUCUCAGAUGAGCCUAGGUCGGAUUAGCUAGGUGGUGAGGUCAUGGCUCACCAAGGCGACGAUCCGUAACUGGUCUGAGAGGAUGAGCAGUAACACUGGGACGGAGACACGGCCCAGAGUACUACGGGAGGCAGCAGUGGGGAAUCUUGGACAAUGGGCGAAAGCCUGAUCCAGCCAUGCCGCGUGUGUGAAGAAGGUCUUCGGAUUGUAAAGCACUUUAAGUUGGGAGGAAGGGCAGUAAGUUAAUACCUUGCUGUUUUGACGUUACCGACAGAAUAAGCACCGGCUAACUCUGUGCCAGCAGCCGCGGUAAAAC
rnacentral:rRNA from 1 species